UGAAAGAAAUUAAAAGCUUCUUGAACAAUCUUUCGAAAAAAAGCUUGUUCAACAAGCUUCAGUAGAAGUAUCCACAUAUAAAAGGCCACCGAGAUAGAGAUAGAGGAGUCAGGACAGGACAGGAGAGAAGAGAAGAAGAACGAAAAUAAAAAGCUUUGGAGCAAGGCAAGCUACGCAUUUAUCGGUUUAUUAAAUAAGAUACGUUGAAGAAGAGUGUUGAGAAGUGUGAUAAAAUUUGGUUUCGCAGUCUGACGGAAUGAAUAUAUUUACUGUUUUUGUUUGGGUUGGGAAAAGGAAGAAGAAGAAGAAGGAGAAAAUAAAAAAGGACGGCGCGUGGGGUCGACCACCGGGUCCCCUCUCAGCGCAGAAGGAAAAUUGACUACUCUCAUCUUCAUCGGUUCAGAUUCAUUCGAGGUUCUCCGCUUAAUCUUACAAUAGUUGUGGACUAAGAAACUGCAGCAAUUGCUAUGUAGAUAUACAAGGACUCGAACCUCAAACCUUAUGGGAGCAAAUCACAAGCUUAAUCGAAUUGAGCUACCUCUUUUGGUCAACUUUUGCCUUUUCUGAUUCAACUUUUACCCAUAUCUGGUGGCAUAUUUCUUCAAAUUAUUAGUAGUCUAACAAGGGCCAAUUUGGAGCUUGCUUUUAUUACUUGUAUUGUCCCAUUUUUCAUCAAUAAUGAAUGUAGACAGUACUUAAAAGUCUGAAUAAUUAAUUGUUUCUUUA